UUGAGUGGCGGACGGGUGAGUAACACGUGAGAAUUCACCUUUGGGCGGGGAAUAACUAUGGGAAACCAUAGCUAAUGCCCCAUAGGCUCGCAAGAGUAAAAGGAGCAAUCCACCCAAAGAGAAGCUCGCGGCUGAUUAGCUAGUUGGUAAGGUAAUGGCUUACCAAGGCGACGAUCAGUAGCUGGUUUGAGAGAACGAUCAGCCACACUGGAACUGAGACACGGUCCAGAC
rnacentral:rRNA from 11 species